rnacentral:lncRNA from 1 species
GCUGGAUCUAUUUACCCUUCCGGAGCAGCUGAGAUCACCCCAAGUUUUUGGUGAGGUUCGUGUUGCUCAGCCUUUAGUUUAUAUGUUGCAUUUUGUGUACAAUUGUUUGUCUGUUUGUCUUUUGGUCUUUUUGACCUUUUCUUUUUUAGUCAUGGCUUUGACGGUUUGUUUUCGACUUUUGAGCUUGAAUAACCCUUUGGUAUUUUCGCCUAUCUUUGUAUGUUUUCUACUAUAGUAAAACAGCAUACUGAAUGAGUGACACUAUUUGCAAUUGUAAUAUUAUGAAAUAAAAGUCACGGCUGCUUGAGAGGAAUUGAAU